GGCGUGCUAUACUGCAAGUAGAACGCUGAGGAUUGGUGCUUGCACUAAUCCAAAGAGUUGCGAACGGGUGAGUAACGCGUAGGUAACCUACCUCAUAGCGGGGGAUAACUAUUGGAAACGAUAGCUAAUACCGCAUGACACUAGAGUACACAUGUACUUAAUUUAAAAGGAGCAAUUGCUUCACUAUGAGAUGGACCUGCGUUGUAUUAGCUAGUUGGUGAGGUAACGGCUCACCAAGGCGACGAUACAUAGCCGACCUGAGAGGGUGAUCGGCCACACUGGGACUGAGACACGGCCCAGACUCCUACGGGAGGCAGCAGUAGGGAAUCUUCGGCAAUGGACGGAAGUCUGACCGAGCAACGCCGCGUGAGUGAAGAAGGUUUUCGGAUCGUAAAGCUCUGUUGUUAGAGAAGAACGGUAAUGGGAGUGGAAAAUCCAUUACGUGACGGUAACUAACCAGAAAGGGACGGCUAACUACGUGCCAGCAGCCGCGGUAAUACGUAGGUCUCGAGCGUUGUCCGGAUUUAUUGGGCGUAAAGCGAGCGCAGGCGGUUCUAUAAGUCUGAAGUAAAAGGCAGUGGCUCAACCAUUGUAUGCUUUGGAAACUGUAGAACUUGAGUGCAGAAGGGGAGAGUGGAAUUCCGUGUGUAGCGGUGAAAUGCGUAGAUAUAUGGAGGAACACCGGUGGCGAAAGCGGCUCUCUGGUCUGUAACUGACGCUGAGGCUCGAAAGCGUGGAGAGCAAACAGGAUUAGAUACUCUGGUAGUCCACGCCGUAAACGAUGAGUGCUAUGUGUUAGGCCCUUUCCGGGGCUUAGUGCCGCAGCUAACGCAUUAAGCACUCCGCCUGGGGAGUACGACCGCAAGGUUGAAACUCAAAGGAAUUUGACGGGGGCCCGCACAAGCGGGUGGAGCAUGUGUUUUUAUUUCGAAGCAACGCGAAGAACUCUUUACCAGGUCUUGACAUCCCUCUGACCGUCCUAGAGAUAGGAUUUUUCCCUUCGGGGACAGAGGAGACAG
rnacentral:rRNA from 1 species